CCCUGUUUAUCCUGCAGGAGGUUGCUGCUAUCAGAAUCCGGCUAAGACAUGCAAGUCAAUGUCGUAAGACAUGGCAAACUGCUCAGUAACACGUCGAUAACGUACCGUAGAGCAUGGGAUAACCUUGGGAAACUGAGGAUAAUACCGUAUAUGGAAUAGGGUGUGGAAUUCUCCUAUUCCCGAAAGCUUCGGCACUCUACGAUCGGUCGGCGGCCCAUCAGGUAGUUGGUGAGGUAACGGCUCACCAAGCCUAUGACGGGUAAGGGCCAUGAGAGUGGUUGCCCUGAGAGGGACACUGAGAUACUGGUCCCAGCCCCACGGGGUGCAGCAGUCGCGAGAACUCCGCAAUGCGCGCAAGCGUGACGGGGGGAUUCUGAGUGCUUUGGUUUAACCAAGGCUUUUCGUGAGGGUAAAUACCUCGCGGAAUAAGUGGUGGGCAAGACUGGUGCCAGCCGCCGCGGUAACCCCAGCGCCACGAGUGGGAACCACGUUUAUUGGGUCUAAAGCAUCCGUAGCCGGCUUGUUAAAUGCCCUGUGAAAUCGUUCUGCCUAACAGAACGGCGUGCAGGGUAGACUGGCAAGCUUGGAACCAGGAAAGGUAUGCGGUAUUCUGUGGGGAACGGUAAAAUGUUAUAAUCCACAGAGGACCACCGAUGGCGAAGGCAGCAUACUUGAAUGGAUUCGACGGUGAGGGAUGAAAGCUAGGGGAGCGAUCCGGAUUAGAUACCCGAGUAGUCCUAGCCGUAAACGCUGCGUGCCAGAUGUUGCACAAUCCUCGCGAUUGUGCAGUGUCGUAACGAAGGUGUUAAGCACGCCACCUGGGAAGUACGGUCGCAAGGCUGAAACUUAAAGGAAUUGGCGGGGGAGCACCACAAGGGGUGCGGCGUGCGGUUUAAUUGAAUUCAACGCCCGGAGUCUCACCAGAGGCGACGGCAGAAUGAAGGUCAGUCUAAUGGGCUUACCCGACGAGCCGAGAGGUGGUGCAUGGCCGGCGUCAGCUCGUGCCGUAAGGUGUCCUGUCAAGUCAGGCAACGAGCGAGACCUGCAUUCUUAUUUGCGAACGUGUCCGUAAGGAUGAGCGAGCACAGUAAGAAGACUGCUUCGGAAACGGAGAGGAAGGUGCAGGCUACGCCAGGUCUGUACGCCCCGAAUCUUCUGGGCUACACGCGCGCAACAAUGAUUGGGACAAUGGGAUGCAACGCCGAAAGGCGAAGCGAAACCUCGAAACCCAAUCUUAGUGCAGACUGAGGAUUGCAACUCAUCCUCACGACGUCGGAAUCCCUAGUAAUCAGACGUUAGCAUCGUCCGGUGAAUAUGUCCCUGCUCCUUGCACACACCGCCCGUCAAACCAACCGAGCAGGUUUUAGAUGAGCCGCAUUGCGUAAAUGUGUCGAAUCUAGAAUCAGUGAGGUGGGUUAAGUCGACACAAGGUA
rnacentral:rRNA from 1 species